GGACUACUGGGGUAUCUAAUCCCGUUCGCUCCCCUGGCUUUCGCGCCUCAGCGUCAGAAGGGGUCCAGCCCGCCGCCUUCGCCACCGGAGUUCCUAUGCAUAUCAACGCAUUUCACCGCUCCACGCAUAGUUCCGCGGGCCCCUACCCCCCUCGAGGCCGCCAGUAUCCCGGGCCGUUCCACGGUUGAGCCGUGGGAUUUCACCCCGGACUUGGCAGCCCGCCUACGCGCCCUUUAAGCCCAGUGAUUCCGAACAACGUUCGCACGGUUCGUCUUACCGCGGCGGCUGGCAC
rnacentral:rRNA from 3 species